CAACCAUUUUUCGAAUCGGUCUACAACCAAAUUUAAAAUAUGUAAAACUCAUACAAAAUUACUAUAAGUAUAAUUAGUAUUUACAUGCACAGAUGUUUUUAUAUAAAUUCUACAAUCAAAUCCAAAUAAUGUACAGGCAUCUGUUCGUGCAGGAAGAUUUUACUGUCACGCGGUCAAAAAAGCCAGACCAUUCUUGGUUUCUGUGACACCUAUAGGUGAAUGGAAGUAAUGAGACACAGAUCUUGGUUGUGUAAGUUAAAGCUGGAUCCUUCAUCACGAUACUAUUCUUGGACUCGUUGGUGGCAGUCAAUGGAAGUAAUUGAGGCCAAAACGUUCAUAACAGUUCCAUGGUGGAUCACGAUAAUGUUAUUGGACCCAUUGGCGGCAGUCAAUGGAAGUAAUGGAACACACGUAACAAUGUUUCAUACUGGAUCAUGGUAAUGCGGUCCUUAGACUCAUUGGGUGACAUAUACUGUAGUGGACAAUAUGGUAACGUAAACAUAAUCUUUCUCGAACGUUCUUCUGUGAGCUUUAUAUCUCAAUCGUAUUCAUAUUAUACUGAGGUAAUAGUAUAGUAUUUCGUUUAUGGUUCAUUCAUUGACAUUCAAAUUUAAAUCUUUUUUAUAUCUGCAGUACAUGCAGGUAACGAAACUGUUCUCUUGCAACAUGAUAUCUAUUCCAGUCUUUUGCAUGUUUUGUCGUUGUAGCAAAAUGACAUUUUUUCUUUAUCAUCGACAAACAUUUAGUAUAGGAUAACUAUCUGUCAGUAGAAUCUUUGCUUUUUUUCGUUGUUCUGUGGUGAGUCCAUGUGACUUUGUUCAGUUGACGCAUAAGUGUCACGAAAGUUAGA
rnacentral:lncRNA from 1 species